rnacentral:tRNA from 1 species
AGGUCAGUAGCUAUCCCGUCCGCCUGAAAAGCGGAAGGUCGCCGGUUCGAUCCCGGCCCUGGCCA